GUUUAAAACUUUCAUAUAGUUCAUACAGUAGACAUUCUUCAAAACGACUACUCCCAAGUGCCAAAUGUUGUAUUCUUUCUCCUAACCUGCAUCAUUGCUCUAAUGAUGCUUUAAUACCACCCUCCCCGUGAUACACAUACAGGAUCUCUCUCUUCAUAUACAUCACAAUUCAAAAUGAAGAAGUUGAGUUUUCCCCAAAGUAAGGGACUUCUUUUGAAAUACCUGCUCCUUAGGAAAGCCGUAAGCAAAACUGUUCAAUAUAAGAAAUCUUGCUAAUUUUACUUUAUGUACUGUCUAUAAAUAUAAGAAUAGCUAAUGUGUUCUUAAAACUAGAUAGAUGCAAACUGCAUCAGAUCAUGUACAUGCAUCCUCUACUGCUUUUUACUCACACAAAUAAUUUACAAAACAGUGAUAAAUCAGUCCCCUUUCCAUAUAUGAAAACUGAGCAUGGUAGAAAUUGAUUCCUUGUCUCAGGUACAGAACUAUUGAGUUGCUCUGUUGAAAUCCUUGCCUAUACAUUUAUGAAUCUUUCUGGUUUGUCUCAGGACAAGAUGACAAUUAGAUUGGCACAUUUUGUAAAACAGCUGGCCAACUGACUGAAAAGAAAUCUGUAUCAAAAUAUGUCACCUUAACUAAGCAGGAAAUUUAAUUAAAAAGGCAUCAAACAUUCCCAUUUUGUUAGGGAUUUUGGAGAGCCUCCUAAUCUGAUGCCUUUUCCCAUUCCCUGCCCCACCCACAACAAUCAUGGAAACAAUCCAAAUCUAUAAUGACUUCAGAAUGACAUUUGGAAGUCACUGAAUGGAGAAAAAAGAAAACCUAAUCCUGCGAAAGGGUGAGACCACGGGGUGUGCCCACAGAGAAUGUGUGUGCCCACGUAGGAGAGAGAGCCACUUGCAAAUGGAUCUUUCCAUUUGGAAUCUGACUGUGGAAAUGACUACUGAAACAUGAGGGAUGAUUCCAUCCUUCCUGUCCAUAGCGAUUGUCAUCAAAGAAGGAGCCCUUAAGAGUGGAGGCUAAAGAGGAAAUCAAAGAGAUCGACACGCCAUCCUGGCUUUGAAGAUGGAGGGAGCCACGAGCCAAG